rnacentral:RNase_P_RNA from 2 species
AGGAGAGGGAGGGCGGCCGACGGUAGGGCGAAAGCCCAGCUGAGGAAGGUCCCCCCUCCAUGAGAAGGUGGCCUACGCAAGUGGGCUGGUGAGAGCCAGGGCAAGGGCGCAGAAACGACACAGCCCGGACCGAGGAUGAUUCGAUGACGAUGACGUUGGUCCGGGAUUUGGUGAAACGGCGACUCCCCACCGGAGCAAGCCCAAACAGUCGGGGUGACCACUCGGGACCGACGGGUAGGGUGCUUAGUUGAAUGCCGCCUGAAACAGAAGGGGGCCUACUACCCUCACCU